GGUCGCGUAGCUCAGCUGGAUAGAGCACGAAGUUCUCUUCUAAGCUUGUGGUCGGAGGUUCGAAUCCUCUCGUGAUCGCCA
rnacentral:tRNA from 1 species